GAUUUCUGGCUUGAAACAUUUAGCCGGCCACGGUUUCGUGUGUUAGUGCUUGAUGUUCUGGCCAUCCUUCCAAUCGCUAUUGGCUAGUCUUCAUUGAUUGGUCAGUGGUAUUGGAUCUUUUACUUUGAAAAAAUUAGAGUGUUUCAAGCAGGCUUUAUGCUAUGAAUACAUUAGCAUGGAAUAAUAAUUUAGGACUUCGGUUCUAUUUUGUUGGUUUCUAGGACUGAAGUAAUGAUUGAUAGGGACAGUUGGGGGUGCUAGUAUUCAGCGGCCAGAGGUGAAAUUCUCGGAUUCGCUGAAGACUAACUUAUGCGAAAGCAUU
rnacentral:rRNA from 1 species